UCCAGACUCCUACGGGAGGCAGCAGUGAGGAAUAUUGGUCAAUGGGCGCGAGCCUGAACCAGCCAAGUCGCGUGAGGGAAGACGGUCCUAUGGAUUGUAAACCUCUUUUGUCGGGGAGCAAAAGACGCCACGCGUGGCGUUCCGAGAGUACCCGAAGAAAAAGCAUCGGCUAACUCCGUGCCAGCAGCCGCGGUAAUACGGAGGAUGCGAGCGUUAUCCGGAUUUAUUGGGUUUAAAGGGUGCGCAGGCGGCACGGCAAGCCGGCGGUCAAAUCGCGGGGCUCAACCCCGCCCAGCCGUCGGAACUGCCGGGCUAGAGUGGGCGAGAAGUGCGCGGAAUGCGUGGUGUAGCGGUGAAAUGCAUAGAUAUCACGCAGAACUCCGAUUGCGAAGGCAGCGCACCGGCGCCCUACUGACGCUCAGGCACGAAAGCGUGGGUAUCGAACAGGAUUAGAUACCCUAGUAU
rnacentral:rRNA from 1 species